rnacentral:rRNA from 1 species
CCUACGGGAGGCAGCAGUGGGGGAUAUUGCGCAAUGGGCGAAAGCCUGACGCAGCGACGCCGCGUGAAGGAAGAAGCAUUUCGGUAUGUAAACUUCUAUCAGCAGGGAAGAAAAUGACGGUACCUGACUAAGAAGCCCCGGCUAACUACGUGCCAGCAGCCGCGGUAAUACGUAGGGGGCAAGCGUUAUCCGGAUUUACUGGGUGUAAAGGGGGCGUAGGCGGUUUAGCAAGCCAGAAGUGAAAGCCCGGGGCCCAACCCCGGGACUGCUUUUGAAACUGUUGAACGAGAUUGCAGGAGAGGUAAGUGGAAUUCCUAGUGUAGCGGUGAAAUGCGUAGAUAUUAGGAGGAACACCAGGGGCGAAGGCGGCUUACUGGACUGUAAAUGACGCUGAGGCUCGAAGGCGUGGGGAGCAAACAGGAUUAGAUACCCCAGUAGUC